GGAUGGCUCCGUUGGUUAGCGCAUGGUGCUGUUGAUGCCAAGGUUGCAGGUUCAGUCCCUGUAUGGGACA